GAAGGUAAAGCUUAGUAGCAGAUCGAGUGCUUAGCAUGCACAAGGUCCUGGGUUCAAUCCCCACUACCUCCA
rnacentral:tRNA from 1 species